CACGAGGUUCGGUGACAACUGACAGCGGAUAGAACCAUCAAUAACAUUCGAGAAACUUCCGAUACAUGCAGGCGCGUCCUGCGCUGAGCGAUAACAUUCGUUACACGGUGAGACAACGCGGUCACCCGAUAAACAAGCAAAGUGUCGGUAGCUAUAGGGUGUCUAGACAUUUUCACGUAUCUACUUCUGGCGUCGCAAAGAAUACUUUGGCAAGGAUUCCUUGCGAGGAAGGCGAGGAACUCGCAGCAACUUGACAUAUUUCGGAAAUAUUUGCCCACUUUCCCAGCAGCGCUCGAAUACACUUCACAACCUAUUCUAGAAACGUCCAUGUUCUGUUUGAAUGUUGUAUGGUAAAUAAUUACCCGUGUAACAUGUGUACUCUUCCUUCGUGUUUGUUGAUGUACGUAUUACUUGGUCCAUGAAACAGUUACCUUAUGCCUUGGUGUCUCCAUGUCCUCCAAAAAAUUUCAAUCAAUGUUUUUUUUGUAUCUUGUAUAUUGUUAUUCUGUCUUAUGCUAUAUGUAUGUUAUAUAAUGAACCUAUUUCUUGUAUCCAGCCAAACGCGGGGGACGCUUGACCGGCUUUGUGUGUAUACUAUAUGCCUUCUCUCACGUGCGCCAGUAGCAAGACCAACUGGUUGUUCCUGGGCACGUUAAUAAAAUUGAUUGAUUGGUUGAUUGACAUUGAUUGAUUGAUUGGUUGAUUGACACUUUGGCAGCAGCGGUAGCGACCCUGGCACAUUGGCUUACAUUCCCCUGUUCUACGCAGAUUCUUCGACGGCCCUUGUGUCUCCGGCGGUAGUCUUUGUGGCGCUACCUACCCUUUUCGUCUUUGGUGCUGCAUCGUUCCCGUGUUACCUACACGUGCGGAUUCCUCAGCCUGGCUGCUAUCUACAGCUGAUAGCGUCGACGAUUUCUGCCACCGGGUGCCACUGCCGUCCCGAUUCCUCGCUAUAAAAGCCGCCGACGUGGAAGACGACACUUUGGCAGCAGCGGUAGCGACCCUGGCACAUUGGCUUACAUUCCCCUGUUCUACGCAGAUUCUUCGACGGCCCUUGUGUCUCCGGCGGUAGUCUUUGUGGCGCUACCUACCCUUUUCGUCUUUGGUGCUGCAUCGUUCCCGUGUUACCUACACGUGCGGAUUCCUCAGCCUGGCUGCUAUCUACAGCUGAUAGCGUCGACGAUUUCUGCCACCGGGUGCCACUGCCGUCCCGAUUCCUCGCUAUAAAAGCCGCCGACGUGGAAGACGACACUUUGGCAGCAGCGGUAGCGACCCUGGCACAUUGGCUUACAUUCCCCUGUUCUACGCAGAUUCUUCGACGGCCCUUGUGUCUCCGGCGGUAGUCUUUGUGGCGCUACCUACCCUUUUCGUCUUUGGUGCUGCAUCGUUCCCGUGUUACCUACACGUGCGGAUUCCUCAGCCUGGCUGCUAUCUACAGCUGAUAGCGUCGACGAUUUCUGCCACCGGGUGCCACUGCCGUCCCGAUUCCUCGCUAUAAAAGCCGCCGACGUGGAAGACGACACUUUGGCAGCAGCGGUAGCGACCCUGGCACAUUGGCUUACAUUCCCCUGUUCUACGCAGAUUCUUCGACGGCCCUUGUGUCUCCGGCGGUAGUCUUUGUGGCGCUACCUACCCUUUUCGUCUUUGGUGCUGCAUCGUUCCCGUGUUACCUACACGUGCGGAUUCCUCAGCCUGGCUGCUAUCUACAGCUGAUAGCGUCGACGAUUUCUGCCACCGGGUGCCACUGCCGUCCCGAUUCCUCGCUCUAAAAGCCGCCGACGUGGAAGACAACGACACUUUGGCAGCAGCGGUAGCGACCCUGGCACAUUGGCUUACAUUCCCCUGUUCUACGCAGCACAAAAAGCCGGCUCUUCUAAUGUGAAGCAUUCUUUGGCUUAUCCCCGGUACAUACUUCGUCGUAAGUAUAGAGCCUGCCCUGCCAAAGCUGUGAGUGACUCGAGCUGGAACUUUGCACCGGGAGACUAUGUGUACGUGCGAAAUUACGGCGUCGGCCAUAAAUGGGCCCCAGGCACUGUGGAAGUUACUUCCGGCACUCGCCUCCGGGAUGUUAAGACUGCGGACGGGUUUGUCCGCCGCCACUUGGAUCAAGUUCGUAAGCGGAGCACAGAUGAGACCCCAGCAGCCGUCGACCUGUCAAGGCUUCCUACAACGGGUUCCCCGGUAUUAAAGGAACCAAGGACCUCUGAAACAUCUUGGAGAAUACCAGAAGCGCAACCUCAGGAGCUACGUCGCUCCACACGAUCAAAUAAGCCUGUUGUGCGUUUUGGUUACUAAGAGUGAAGAAAUGUGGUAACCCAUGAACAUGGCAAGCAAGCUAUUUCCUUCAGUGCGCAUGUGCGCACUCUUUCUGUCACACCUUCCCUCUCCCCUUGUCUUUUCUUUAUAUUUCCGAGCGUGAAUAAACCCGGCGU